GCGGGUGUGGCGGAACUGGCAGACGCGUCGGAUUUAGGAUCCGAUGGGAAACCGUGCAGGUUCGAGUCCUGUCACCCGCACCA
rnacentral:tRNA from 1 species